CCCUUAGAUGUCCGGGGCCGCACGCGCGCUACACUGAAGGAAUCAGCGUGGCUUUCUCCCUGACCCGAAAGGGUUGGGAAACCCGUUGAAUCUCCUUCGUGAUAGGGAUUGGGGCUUGAAAUUGUUCCCCAUGAACGAGGAAUUCCCAGUAAGCGCGAGUCAUAAGCUCGCGUUGAUUACGUCCCUGCCCUUUGUACACACCGCCUGUCGCUACUACCGAUUGAACGGUUUAGUGAGGGCCUCGGAUUGGUCUCGGCCCGCUCUUUACCGGGCGGCGCCGUUGGUCGAGAAGACGCUCGAACUUGAUCGUUUAGAGGAAGUAAAAGUCGUAACA
rnacentral:rRNA from 1 species